rnacentral:rRNA from 1 species
AUACGGAGGGUGCAAGCGUUGUUCGGAAUUACUGGGCGUAAAGGGCGCGUAGGCGGUUGUGAAAGUCAGAUGUGAAAUACUUCGGCUUAACUGGAGAACUGCAUCUGAAACUUCAUAACUCGAGUACAGGAGAGGGAAACGGAAUUCCCGGUGUAGAGGUGAAAUUCGUAGAUAUCGGGAGGAACACCAGUGGCGAAGGCGGUUUCCUGGCCUGAUACUGACGCUGAGGCGCGAAAGCGUGGGGAGC